GCUAGUGAACUAUUUUUAGGCCUAUAUUUCGGCUAUAGCUUUAGGGUUAUUGACUCCGCUAGUU
rnacentral:tRNA from 1 species